UACGUAGGGGGCAAGCGUUGUCCGGAUUUAUUGGGCGUAAAGAGCGUGUAGGCGGCCACACAGGUCCGUUGUGAAAACUCGAGGCUUAACCUCGAGACGUCGAUGGAAACCGUAUGGCUAGAGUCCGGAAGAGGAGAGUGGAAUUCCUGGUGUAGCGGUGAAAUGCGCAGAUAUCAGGAAGAACACCCGUGGCUAAGGCGGCUCUCUAGUACGGUACUGACGCUGAGACGCGAAAGCGUGGGGAGCGAACAGG
rnacentral:rRNA from 1 species